rnacentral:lncRNA from 10 species
GCGGCAGCCCGAUCACCCCCAAACCUCGUCAGCAUCCCCACCUGGCCCCAACCUGCCAGCCUUCACCAGGCUCUUAACAAGAGGCCAGUUCUCAGCCAGCCUCUCUCCUGUCCUUGAGCGGCAAGUGGGCAGCUGAGCAGAAUUGUAGAAGGAAUGCAAAUCAGACUAAUACGGCCUGAGAGGAAAUUUAGAGAAGACAGUAGACAUGAAAGACCAAGAAGACCCACACACACAAUAUUGUGUUUCAGUUUGUGAACUACCUUUGGAGCCCGUAAAGUGGAGAUGAGCCCCAUGCAUGUCACUGAACUCAGAACAUGGGGAGCCUGGGUUACAGAUCCACAGAAUAACCAAGACCAGCGUGGCAGGGGCCUCCAGGGGCCGAAACCUCCAGGAGAGAAGUCAGUAAAUGCUAUAGAAAGCACAGCCUGUGUCGGGAAUGGAGAUGAAAUAUUUCUUUGUUAGACAUGCCAUCAAAAAGUCCCGAAGUUGAGGAAGAACGCAGGUUUAUUUUCAAAUAAAUGCUCACUUGGAC